rnacentral:lncRNA from 1 species
CUUGUCUAAGGUCAACAAGUCCGUUAGGGUUGGAACUAACUGACGACAGACGAAGCCGUCCUAACCCCUGAAAUCUACAAGUAGUCCAGGAAGAGGGGGAGAAGAUCCCUUUAGGUGUGAAGGAAGAAUGGACUGGAAAGUAGAGACCCUGAGAUCCAGGACGGAAGGAGGGAAGAGGCUCGCUUGACUGUCAUAAGCUUCAUUUUGCUGAAACAGACCCCAGAAAGGGCAGUGAUGAGAGAUGAGGCCACAAUACAGAUAUCCAAUUAUUUCAGCAUCACUUGCUAAAAAUACUUUCCUUUCGUCUUUGGAUUCCACUGGCAACUUUAUUGAAAAAUCAGAUAACUAUAUGGAGUCUUUCUCUGUCACCCAGGCUGGAGUAUUGUGGAAUCUGGUCAGCAGCCCACAGUGCAACGUGGCUCUCUCUUUGCUCUCAGG